UACGUAGGGUCCGAGCGUUGUCCGGAAUUACUGGGCGUAAAGCGUGCGCAGGCGGUUAUGCAAGACAGAUGUGAAAUCCCCGGGCUCAACCUGGGAGCUGCAUUUGUGACUGCAUAGCUGGAGUGCGGCAGAGGGGGAUGGAAUUCCGCGUGUAGCAGUGAAAUGCGUAGAUAUGCGGAGGAACACCGAUGGCGAAGGCAAUCCCCUGGGCCUGCACUGACGCUCAUGCACGAAAGCGUGGGGAGCAAACAGG
rnacentral:rRNA from 1 species